rnacentral:tRNA from 1 species
GCGACCUUAGCUCAGUUGGUAGAGCGGAAGACUGUAGUCUGUGACAGCAUAUCUUUAGGUCGCUGGUUCGAUUCCGGCAGGUCGGA